rnacentral:lncRNA from 1 species
AUUUAAUGUUUAAUUUUUUAAUAUAAUAUUAUAUAAUAGAAAAUUACAUGAGAGACGAUAGGUGGAGGAAACAAAUUGUAGGCAUGUUGUGAGCUGGAGAUGACAUAGACAGAGGGCAAAGAUAGUGACAGUGAGCAUGGUUACUGAUUUGAGCAAAAUAUGAAUUUAAUGGUGAAAAAAGAGUAAACACGUGCCAAAGUGGAAAAAAAAAUAGAUUUUCUACAUUUGCUCUUCUUCUCCCUUUUAAAGUUUAAAGUAUUCUUAUGAU